GAUGAACGCUGGCGGCGUGCUUAACACAUGCAAGUCGAACGGAAAUAGAAGGAAGCCUAGCGAAUUCUAUUUUAGUGGCGGACGGGUGAGUAACGCGUGGGUAACCUGCCUUGUACUGGGGGAUAGCACUUAGAAAUAGGUGCUAAUACCGCAUAAGCAUACGAAGUCGCAUGACUUUGUGUGAAAAACUCUGGUGGUACAAGAUGGACCCGCGUCUGAUUAGCUAGUUGGUGAGGUAAUGGUUCACCAAGGCGACGAUCAGUAGCCGGCCUGAGAGGGUGAACCGCAACAUUGGGACUGAGACACGGCCCAAACUCCUACGGGAGGCAGCAGUGGGGAAUAUUGCACAAUGGGCGAAAGCCUGAUGCAGCGACGCCGCGUGAGUGAAGAAGUAUUUCGGUAUGUAAAGCUCUAUCAGCAAGGAAGAAAAUGACGGUACUUGACUAAGAAGCCCCGGCUAACUACGUGCCAGCAGCCGCCGUAA
rnacentral:rRNA from 1 species